rnacentral:ncRNA from 1 species
GGAAGCCGGUGUGAAUCCGGCGCAGUCGCGCUACUGUGACGCCGCUUGCGGCGAAGCCAGAC